GACGAACGCUGGCGGCGUGCUUAACACAUGCAAGUCGAGCGGAAAGGCCCUUCGGGGUACUCGAGCGGCGAACGGGUGAGUAACACGUGAGUAACCUGCCCUUCACUUUGGGAUAACCCUCGGAAACGGGGGCUAAUACCGGAUACGACACACCAGCGCAUGUUGUGUGUGUGGAAAGUUUUUCGGUUGGGGGAGUGGGCUCGCGGCCUAUCAGCUUGUUGGUGGGGUGAUGGCCUACCAAGGCGACGACGGGGUAGCCGGCCUGAGAGGGCGACCGGCCACACUGGGACUGAGACACGGCCCAGACUCCUACGGGAGGCAGCAGUGGGGAAUAUUGCACAAUGGGCGGAAGCCUGAUGCAGCGACGCCGCGUGAGGGAUGACGGCCUUCGG
rnacentral:rRNA from 1 species